UAAAAAUUUACCUGAUUAUUAUAAUCUAAGGGUUUAUGAUGAUGAUAAUCUAAGUUUAUGAUUAUGAUUUAGGUGUAGCUCCAAUCUGAAAUGAACAAUGAAAAUCAAUUAAUUAUAAAUAGCAGUACAGCAAGAGAAGACUGAAUUAGUCAAUUAUAAUGUGUUCAUGGAAUUAACUUUGUGAGCCUGUAUUUUAGGCCACACUUUUCUUUCAGCUUUAGGUGUUAUAGAAAAUCUAGUCGACUACCUGGAUUAUGUAAAAAAAAAGUUUUCUGCUCUAAGAUUAUCAGCACAAAACCUUUCUCACUGUUGACACCUUCUUUUUGUUAAGGCGUUAUGAAGAAAGUACUAAGUUUAAGUGGUUAUAUUAUUAUUUUUAUCAAAUAUGGAGG